rnacentral:rRNA from 1 species
GUAGGGAGCAAGCGUUGUCCGGAAUCAUUGGGCGUAAAGCGCGCGUAGGCGGCCCGGUAAGUCCGUCGUGAAAGUCAAAGGCUCAACCUUUGAAUGUCGAUGGAUACUGCCGGGCUAGAGUCCGGAAGAGGCGAGUGGAAUUCCUGGUGUAGCGGUGGAAUGCGCAGAUAUCAGGAGGAACACCAAUAGCGAAGGCAGCUCGCUGGGACGGUACUGACGCUAAGGCGCGAAAGCGUGGGGAGCGAACAGGAUUAGAUACCCUGGUAGUCCACGCCGUAAACGAUGGGCACUAGGUGUGGGAGGUGUCGACUCCUCCCGUGCCGUCGCUAACGCACUAAGUGCCCCGCCUGGGGAGUACGGCCGCAAGGCUA